ACGGAAGGCAGCAGUGGGGGAUAUUGCACAAUGGGGGAAACCCUGAUGCAGCGACGCCGCGUGAGCGAAGAAGUAUUUCGGUAUGUAAAGCUCUAUCAGCAGGGAAGAAAAUGACGGUACCUGACUAAGAAGCUCCGGCUAAAUACGUGCCAGCAGCCGCGGUAAUACGUAUGGAGCAAGCGUUAUCCGGAUUUACUGGGUGUAAAGGGAGCGUAGACGGUUUGCCAAGUCUGAUGUGAAGGGUGGGGGCUCAACCCCCAAACUGCAUUGGAAACUGGUAGACUAGAGUGUCGGAGAGGUAAGUGGAAUUCCUAGUGUAGCGGUGAAAUGCGUAGAUAUUAGGAGGAACACCAGUGGCGAAGGCGGCUUACUGGACGAUAACUGACGUUGAGGCUCGAAAGCGUGGGGAGCAAACAGGAUUAGAUACCCUGGUA
rnacentral:rRNA from 1 species